AUCCCGGACAGAACUUGAUUUUUUCGUGUUUGUCUGAUUCAUGGAAAGCCAAUAAUGAUUUGUGGGAUGUUUCGCUGAUAAAUACCUUUUUAAUUUAACUCUGGAGGUGUUUUAAUAGUAGCUUUCCAUACAGUC